GACGAACGCUGGCGGCGUGCCUAAUACAUGCAAGUCGAACGCUUCUUUCCUCCCGAGUGCUUGCACUCAAUUGGAAAGAGGAGUGGCGGACGGGUGAGUAACACGUGGGUAACCUACCCAUCAGCGGGGGAUAACACUUGGAAACAGGUGCUAAUACCGCAUAACAGUUUAUGCCGCAUGGCAUAAGAGUGCAAGGCGCUUUCGGGGGUCGCUGAUGGAUGGACCCGCGGGGCAUUAGCUAGUUGGUGAGGUAACGGCUCACCAAGGCCACGAUGCAUAGCCGACCUGAUAGGGUGAUCGGCCACACUGGCACUGAGACACGGCCCAGACUCCUACGGGAGGCAGCAGUAGGGAAUCUUCGGCAAUGGACGAAAGUCUGACCGAGCAACGCCGCGUGAGUGAAGAAGGUUUUCGGAUCGUAAAACUCUGUUGUUAGAGAAGAACAAGGACGUUAGUAACUGAACGUCCCCUGACGGUAUCUAACCAGAAAGCCACGGCUAACUACGUG
rnacentral:rRNA from 1 species